GUGAUAAUUAUUUUCAGCUGAAAAAACCGGCAACAAUGUAUUAUAAUAACUAUAUGAUAAGGAUGAUCUAAUGGAAACAACAGCUUUGCAAAAUCAAAUAGAUUUGUUUUUUUUUCUGUUGCAAAAAAGGGUAAAAAUAGAUCAGCCCUUCUUGAUAUUGACAUCGGCGGUGAUUAAUCGUCGCCGGCGGCGACGGCAGCAGCAACGGCGAUGGCUCUUCAGUUUUCUAUCAUCUAUAUAUCUAAUUCUAUAUACUUUUUUUUUUCCUUUUCUGUUUAAAUUAAAAAACAUUAAAAAGGAACUUGUACUAAAUUAAAAAUGUUUCUCGCAAAAUAUCUCCGAUCGUCUUCAUCGUCGUCUCUGGUGAUGUCACAUGUUUUCCGGUGGAGGAAAGUUGAGAUCCAGAUUUAAACCGGCGGUGGUUGAUUUCACGUCAACACGCAUAAAAUCAAUUACCGUUGAUGAAUCAGAGUCACCACCACCGAGGUAAUCUACCGUUUUCUUCCGAUUUGUUUCUAACUUUAUAACUCCGGCGCGUGCAAGUGCUUCUAUAUAGUACAUAUGAUUCACCGCCUGUACCGAACCGGUAAAACCUCCACCGGAGCUCGGGAACUUAACCGUAUGAUGAUUAAACCCGCCGAUUGAUCCACAGAGACUUAGAUCUAACGGCGAUGAUGAAUCAACCAUAACCGGACUCGAUGACUCCACAGUACUAGUCUGACUCGGACUCCGAUUGAUUUCAUUUUUCACAGCGAAUUUCAGAUCUUCCUCUUUUUCCAUUUCUAAUUUCGGAAAAUUAGUUUUCGCUUUCGCUCCACGAAAUUCUCUAGCAGCGUUAUCAUAAGCUCUAGCCGCCUCCUCCGCAGUAUCGAAAGUACCUAACCAAACCCUACUUUUUUUCCCAGGAUCUCUAAUCUCCGCCGCGUAUCUCCCCCAUGGCCUCUUCCUUACACCUCUAUAAUGCACCUCUUUCGAAAUUCCAUUUAAAUUCACCAUUGCCAUAGCUGUAACUGCACCAAUUUUUUCCUUAGGCGCCAUAGCUAAUUCAAA
rnacentral:misc_RNA from 1 species